UCCCUGGUGGCUCAGAGGGUAAAGCAUCUGCCUGUGAUGGGGAAGACCCAGGUUCAAUCCCUGGGUUGGGAA
rnacentral:tRNA from 1 species